rnacentral:rRNA from 1 species
UACGUAGGGGGCAAGCGUUGUCCGGAUUUAUUGGGCGUAAAGAGCGUGUAGGCGGCCAUACAGGUCCGUUGUGAAAACUGGAGGCUUAACCUCCAGACGUCGAUGGAAACCGUAUGGCUAGAGUCCGGAAGAGGAGAGUGGAAUUCCUGGUGUAGCGGUGAAAUGCGCAGAUAUCAGGAAGAACACCCGUGGCGAAGGCGACAUCCUGGACCGGUAUUGACGCUGAGGCGCGAAGGCCAGGGGAGCAAACGGG